UACGUAGGGUGCGAGCGUUGUCCGGAAUUAUUGGGCGUAAAGAGCUUGUAGGCGGUUUGUCGCGUCUGCCGUGAAAAUCCGGGGCUCAACCCCGGACUUGCGGUGGGUACGGGCAGACUAGAGUGUGGUAGGGGAGACUGGAAUUCCUGGUGUAGCGGUGAGAUGCGCAGAUAUCAGGAGGAACACCGGUGGUGUAGACGGCUUACUGGACCACGACUGACACUGAGGCACGAAAGCGUGGGUAGCAAACAGG
rnacentral:rRNA from 1 species